GAGUUUAUGCCUAAAUUGUGAUAGGUUGAGUUGUUUGGUCAUUUAGACCAUUUUAUUAUUGAUGUUUAGCAUGUUUGAGGCAAAAUUUGUGGGAAAUUGCCUUCAUAGUCACGACAUCCUUUUGUUAAUGUCGUGAUGUUAAACAUUUGUUUCCAUAGUCACAACUCUCCCUUACUAAGCUCGUAACAUUGAGCCUCCUGCCUAUAAGGCGCGAC
rnacentral:lncRNA from 1 species